rnacentral:rRNA from 1 species
AUUGAACGCUGGCGGCAUGCCUUACACAUGCAAGUCGAACGGCAGCACGGGAGCAAUCCUGGUGGCGAGUGGCGAACGGGUGAGUAAUAUAUCGGAACGUGCCCAGUCGUGGGGGAUAACGUAGCGAAAGCUACGCUAAUACCGCAUACGAUCUAUGGAUGAAAGCGGGGGAUCGCAAGACCUCGCGCGAUUGGAGCGGCCGAUAUCAGAUUAGGUAGUUGGUGAGGUAAAGGCUCACCAAGCCGACGAUCUGUAGCUGGUCUGAGAGGACGACCAGCCACACUGGGACUGAGACACGGCCCAGACUCCUACGGGAGGCAGCAGUGGGGAAUUUUGGACAAUGGGCGGCAAGCCUGAUCCAGCAAUGCCGCGUGCAGGAUGAAGGCCUCGGUUGG